rnacentral:rRNA from 1 species
UUAAACUGAAGAGUUUGAUCAUGGCUCAGAUUGAACGCUGGCGGCAGGCCUAACACAUGCAAGUCGAGCGGUAACAGAUCCAGCUUGCUGGAUGCUGACGAGCGGCGGACGGGUGAGUAAUGCAUAG